rnacentral:lncRNA from 1 species
ACAGCCUUCAUGUGCUUCAAUAAUUUUUUGAGCGUCUUCCAUAAGCGUUUUGAAGGCCACAUAUAUGCAACAACUGAUAGAAAUAAAGUAAGCAUAUUCGCUGGGUUGCUGGUCUUCUACAGAAAUUGAGCCAAUACGUUCUAAUAAAAAACAAGUACUUAAAACUACCAAUGACAAUGAGAGGAGACAAACACAGGCAACAGAAUGAUAAAAGGCUACCCCAUGGGUAAUUAACUCAUGUUCAACAAUUACAUCAUUCAGUAUCCAUCAAAAUAUAAAGCCACUCUCAGAGUACUGAGCAAUCAUUACUGGAAUUGAAAUUAAGCCUUCCAUUAAGAGUUCCAUUACUUCAUCCCUGAUUAGCUUCACUUCAGGGUAGCAGGACCAGGUGAAUUAACGGUACUGCAACAAAAGAACAUAAUCCAAUAAUUACAACGCUAGUUUUGCACAAACGAAGGAAAUGGUAUGUCUAACUACAAAUUCUAAUAUACUAAAUGUUUUAUUCUAGACUAGAAGGCUAGAUGCUGAAGAAAGGAUGCUGCAUAAGAACAUCAAGACAACUAUAUCAAAGCUUGGCUAUUAUGUUAUCUGAACCAUAAACAUUUCAGAAAUCACCAGGCCACAAUAGAACUUGUUCCUCAAUGUAAUAAAAUGCCAGCAAAACACAUCUGAAUACAGAAACUACGAAGUAAAUGAGCCAACCAUAGAGAACUAUACAGAGCACAUUAAUUUGUUAACCAGUCAGUUAUCUCAUUUGUAUGUAGUCUAGGAAUAGGUAUUGAUCAUCAAACACUAGAGAAGGCAUUAAGGAUUCACACAUCUAUCUAGAGCUAAUGCAAUACCAAAAAAAUUAUAAGUCAUAACAGACAUUUUAAGCCGUUUACUUGCAGACUACAUAUAAAUAGGAAGGGAAUCAUGACUUACAAAAUAAUAAGAACAUUUCAGAUUGUUUCUGGUGUAACAAUAAUGUUGUUGUUGUAUACCUUGAUGAAGCCAAUGUCCUUGGCGUUGCUGCGGAAACACUGCCUGCAGCACAUCAGCCCAUACUUCCUGAUCAGUCCAUGGGAGUUUCCACAGACCCGGCUGCCAAAAAUAACAAACUUGGGGUCAGUACAAUCACUCAUAAGCAUACUGGUUCAUCACAAUAUAACAUCAGUGAUCGAAUGGUACGCCAGACAAGUCAGCAACCACACACUAUUUCAGUUUGUUACCGCACAGCGUUUGAAGAAAUGCUUGUUAAGUCAAAGAAAUUAACUAGGCAAUUCUAGCAAUACUUUCCUAGUUCUGGUCGCAUUACUUGUUUGUGAAGCUACUUGCACAUCACAGCAAGCUCUUAAUGGUUUGAACACAUCUAACAGAGUUAAUCAAAAAAGAUUUUAAUCGCCAUAUGAAGGACGCCAGAAUCGGAUGAUACAUGUAGCCAACUGCAUCGCCGAGAAUAGCACAGACAACCGCAACAAAAUACACAUCAUAUGAAGAUGAUAAUGACUUCAUCAAGGCAUACAAUCAAUCAAUGUGAGAAUUUGACCGAUUAAUCAGUACCUGACCACACCUAACACACUUACAUAUGAGAUGUCAGCAAACAAGGUUUUAAUCGCCAUAUUAAGCCCGCCACGAUCGAAUGAUAUAUGUCGCCAACUACAUCAUCUAAGACACAGAUCCGGCCGAACGGUUGGUCUAGCUAGGAGAUAUCUAGCCGCGGGAACGAACUAGGCAUUUUAAGGAGAUGGAGGGGAUCGAGGCGGUGGCAGAAGUAUUACCAGACGCGGGAGCCGGGCCCGUAGUUCUUGGGGUGGGAGUUCCAGACGUUGGAGUGCCCCAUCGUUGCCGCCUUCUUGUUCGCCUUCCGCCUGCCGCCGCCGGUUGCUAGGAUGCGCGUGGGAGGAAGAAAGGGUAGGUGGCGGCGGUGCGAGCGGGAGAGGCUUAUAUAGAUAGGGAGACGCCGGUAAACCCUAAGCCAAGGGCACGGGUUGGAUUGGGCCCAGGCCGACACUUAGCCCCGUAUACGGGCUUAAAGGGCCUCUUUGUUAGGCCCAGCCAAUCAUGAGCAUUUGGGCCUCAGAUAUAUGUGCUGUAUCAUCUGCACGACUCGCCGUGGCCCGUGAGACUCGUCGGGAAAAAAAAUCGUCUUCUCCUGCUCCACUCCGCCUCGCCGAGGAUGUCUUCCGCCGCCGGAGCCGGAGCCGGAGAGCACUCGUCUUCAUCCCGACCUGUCCGUGUGAACGACGCCCCUACCUACCGUCACUGUGUUGUUUCUUACUCCACUGACGUGUCCUCGAAUGUCUCGUCGUCGCAGGGGAAGCAGAGAGAGGAAGGUGCCGACGAUAGCAACCGCAAGGUGGACGAUGAGGGAGAUCUGAGCCUGGAACUCUAUGGCGCCGAGGCGGGGUGGGUGGAGGCGCGGACCAGCUGCCCACACCUCCCUGCAAUGCCCGCCGCCAGCGCCGACGAACUCGCGCGCGUGCCCGCGUCUGAUUCCCAGUGCUCUAGGUUUGUCUCACCAUCCUCUUCGAGUUUGGUGUCUCGCGACCCUGGGCCUGACAUGCGGAUUGUUAGGGUUCUUAUCUGCUGUUUGAUGCUCUCCCCUUGAGUUCUAGUUCGCGGUGGCACUAUUUGGCCGAAUCCCCAGCUCCCAUACUUCAGUUAUGGUGAAAUAUGGCUAGAUAACUUAAAUUGACAAGGAAAAGGGAUUGAUACUUGAUGACAAUGCGAUUGACUGGUACUAAGUUGUGACUCGAAAGUGUUAUGGCAAGUCAUAUAUAUGUAUGGUUGACAUCACAGCUUUCGUUAACGAAAGUGCGGAGAUGACGUGAGUUGCCACCAAGGUUUGGUGACAAGAAUAUCAUCCUCUGUCCCAUAGCAUUCCGAUGCUCUGCUCUAGUGCUGGGUGUGUAGUAUGUCUCGGGAAAUAGUUGAGUAACUAGAUGAUUUUGAAAUGAGUAGUUGCACUGCUGAUUAGUUAGAUUAGAACUCAAAGAUCAUUCUCUAUUCGGUUAAAUGUGGACCAUGAAUGUCACAUGAGGUCACUGGUUUAGCAAAAGAAAUCAAGUCAUGCCCAUAGAGGACAUGCUUGGAUUUAUAUAAUACCAAGCAUUUAUGCCAGAUGUGGAAGUGGUUCAUUUAUUACCAAGUCCAGGAUGUGACAAAAGUACCUUCAUAUUUAUGAAUGAGGGUUAUUUAGAUUACUAACUAGAAGCUUCACUUCAUGAUUUCUCCUUCGCAUUAUUCUCACUGUAUCAACAUAUGGUUCAUGUUGUUGUUAUUCCUGCAUCAAUUCUGGUAUGCAAUUCCUCUGUUUAUUCACAAUAUUUUUAGUUGUCAAAUCACUUCCAAGUGGCAGAAUGGAAAUAUGAUUUUAAGAUGUGAUAUUUCCAAAGAAAAAGAGUUGUUGGGUUUGCAAAAUAGGAUAUCCUUUUAUCAGGAAAACAUCAUGGAGAGUGAGCUUGAUUGUCCCCUUUCUAUGGUAGGUCGAAAAUAUGAGUUUCUUUGGUAGAAUGAUUGCUCAAUGGGAAAGUUAGAUGAUUGUGGUCUGGGUUUUGAAGGUACUAUUGAGUACAUUCCUUAUUGAAAGUUAGUAACAGGCUAACAUCUAGUGAGCUGGUAACAGUAUGGCUUCCUCCUCACUCUGUUCUACUCCCUCCGUCCCAAAAUAUAAGAACGUUUUUGACACUAUGCUAGUGUCAAAAACGUUCUUAUAUUUGCUAGUGUCAAAAACGUUCUUAUAUUUAGCAUAGUGUCAAAAACGUUCUUAUAUUUUGGGACGGAGGGAGUACAACUGAAUGAUUUAUGUAUGCGUGCAUUAUACAUGAAAAAGCACAUCCCUGUUGAUACUUCUUAUAUGACUUCUAUAACCAAACCAUGGUUUUCUGUUUCAUUUCACCUGAAAAUGCUGUUUACGAUUUCAUGAUGCACCAUAAAAUUAAUAGGUUGUCAAACAUUGUCUAUGUGUAUCUUCCUUGCAUGCUUGUUGCUAUAGCAUCUGGAUGUUAAUUGCCUAUAAACACCAAAAGCAGUGUUAAGAUUUUCCAAUGAGUUAAGUUAGCCUGUGGCACAAGGUAAUGCAUACCCCUAUCCUUGUAUUGAAUCUGAAUGAACCUCAUAUGCUCGAAUUUAGGACAAAACAUAACUGUUGGAUUUGAUGUACUUCAUAUGUUCAUGUCUUGUGUUUUCUUAUGAGCAUUUUUCCAUGCAGAUGUCAUCACCCUUCUGAAAACUGGUUAUGCUUGAUCUGCAAAGAUGUGCUGUGUAGUCGUUUUAUCAACAAACACAUGCUGUACCAUUAUCAAGAAAUGGGCCAUUGUAUUGCCCUGAGCUUCAGGUAAAUUGUUCAACUUCCUUUUGCUUAACUUUAUCUUGGACUGCAGAGAAUUUUCACUGGCUGCAUUUUUAUGAUCAGGGUUCUCCAGUUCCAGUAGUCAGUAUGCCGUGUUUUUUUUGUUAGAGCAAAGUAUGACGUGUUCUAAAUCUAACGGUCACUUGUGCCAAUGUGAAACGGUAUUGUUGCGCGCUCAGUAUAGUACUCGUGUUAAUCAGCCAGAAGUUUUAGUUGGAAAAUAGAGAUCAAUGUCCUUGUUAGGUUGGGUAAUUGCCUUAUAGAUAUAUUAGAGAUAAGUUUCCUUGUACUCUCGAUGGGUUUCGUAGAGAGAUUGGUUCUUAGGGAUCAAGUGAAGUCGUCCUAAAAAGCAUGGAUACUGCGACACGGGAUACGGCAUUUUUUAGAAACACCCAUCGGAGACACGGCAAGUAUAUAUAAAAAUAAAUAAAAAUAUGCCAUGUAAUAUAGAGUUAAAGACAAAAAAAUUAGAAAGAGAUACUUCUCCAUUUGUUGUCUCCUAUUUGAAGUGCUUGGUUGAAUCAUCCAGACCAGAUCCAUGUCAUUUCAACUUGCAAAACACAUCAAACAAUAGUCUAGUAUUAGUAUCAGUCUAUUAGAGACAUAAAUCAUAAUAAUAUGAAGUGGUACUUGACAAACAGCAAAGAAGUUUGCUUACCCAAUCUGCAAUGCUAGCCCCCAAUAGCAUUAGGCUAGUCAUAGUGGGAAGUAACUUAGACUAGUAACGUGCAUAUGUUACUAGUCUAUGUUACUACCUCCAUAGUGGGUAGUAUCAUAGAUGUGAUAACAUAGAGAGCUUCAUUUAUUACUCUGUAGACUCAUUUUACAUUGGGAAUCACUAUGUGUUGAAUCGGAAGAUGGGUACCUUCAGACAGCGGCCUCGCUUCCUGUCUUGUUGCCUGCGUGAGUGUGUGUCUCAGAUGUGGCGGCUGUGUCAGGACCCCGACUCAAUGCCACAUCGAUCUAGCAUGUAACACCUCAUAUCACUUUGCGGCCUCACGCACGGUAUCCCCACGGGGGUCGCCUUACCUUUGCCCGGGACCGUUUGCGCCUUUUGGCACACGUAUAUGACAGUGUCGCUAGCAUCCAUAUGAUAAGGAGCCCGGGCUGACAUGGCUAGUCGUAAACCCAAAGUGGCACAAACUUACAGGGACAGGCAUCCAUGACCCAGCAUCGAACGUGUCGGUCAUCGGCGAGUGAAUCCAGGCUGUAGCACUGGGCUAGCAGGACUCCGGUGAACCGGGCUGUAGCGGGCUAACAGGGCUCCGGUAUUCAUCGCGUGACAUUUCCCCGAAGGGACAGACACAGGAACGAAGAAGGACACAUGCCGGCCAGCCUAAGUGUUCCGGAGCAGUAGCAAGCUACCAUGGCUCAGUGGAAGCACUAGGAGACAUUUCCCGGUAAGAGAGGCUACGAAGGAUAAACAACUAGAUAGUCAGAUCCCACACAUACCAAGCAUUUCAAUAACAUACACACAAUAUGCUCGAUAUGUGCAAAUACAACAUGGCAUCACAACAUGACUCUACAACUCAAGUAUUUUAUUCAAUAGGCUCCGAGGAGCGAGAUAUUACAAACAUGGGCCUCACGACCCAACAUUCAGAGCAUACAAGUCAAAGCACAUGCGGAAGCUUAACAUGUCUGAGUACAGACAACUACAAAUGAAAAAGGUGAGAAGCCUGACUAUCUACCAGAUCCUGCCGAGGGCACAAGAUCGUAGCUGAGGUAACAAGCUAAACGUCGAAGUCCACGCGGAACUACUAGCGAGACUGAAGUCUCUCUGCAAAAACAUAAAUUAAGCAGCGUGAGUAGAAAUGUACCCAGCAAGACUUACAUCAGAACUAACUACAUAUGCACCAUUAUCAACAAAGGGGGUGGUGGAGUUUAACUGCAGCAAGCCAGCUUUGACUUGGUGGCUAUCCUGAACUACGACUGCAAGCAACUCUUUUGAGGUGGCGCACACGAGUCCACAUAUUCACCAUAUAAAUACACCACUAUGGAUCCGCUCCUGUCUCCCUACGAGAACGCCAUCCAUAGCACUCACGCUUAUCUUGCGUAUUUUAGAGUAUCCACUUUCAUUUGUCUAUGAAUUGUACAGGCAACCCAGAAGUCCUUUUCCGCGGACACGGCUAUUCGAAUAGAUGAUGUUAACCCUGCAGGGGUGUACUUCUUCACACACGCUCUCACCACUUACCGCCGUUUACACGACAUGUACUCAGCAACCUUCAAGCGGAAGCCCAGCGAGGGUGUCGGCCACGACCUGACUAACCACACAAGUCUCUCGUCCAGGUUUAUCGCCUAUUCGGGUUCCAUCCGCAAGGAGAUUCGGCCGGGGUGUCGCUCACGGCCCCAAACGAUGUGAGCAGGGUUCCCAAGCCCACCUCGACGGGUGGAUCUACGCUUGGUACACCGUGCCACUGUGCCUAGUCUGUCCCAAGCCCACCUGUACCGGGUGCCACUUGGUAGACUACUAACACUACCUACAAACACCAGAAACUAGUUGCAACUCCUGGACAGAGAUCAGGUUGAUUAAUAAGUGAGAGGGGCACUUAAGCAUUCCAAUGCGUGGUAGUAGCUGUUCAUGGAUCACAAACACAGAACUCAGUUCCUGAGGACGGCUUCAAUGAGGCAACCCACCAUGUAUUCCUACAUGGCCUCUCACCGCUACCUUUACCAAAUCGUGUUCACACACUUAGCUCACACACAGUAGGACAUGUUUACACACCUCCAAUUCAUCCCCGAUGAAUCAGACCUGACACAACUCUAAGCAAUAGCAGGCAUGACAAACAAGCAUGAAUGAGUAGGCACAUCAGGGCUCAAACAACUCCUACUCAUGCUAGUGGGUUUCAUCUAUUUACUGUGGCAAUGACAGGUCAUGCAGAGGAUAAAGGGGUUCAACUACCGCAACAAGUAACAGUUGUAUCGUUGUUGUCCUAAUGCAGUAAAAUAGAGCAGGAGCGAGAGAGUGGGAUUGUAUCGGAAUGAACAAGGGGGUUUUGCUUGCCUGGCACUUCUGAAGAUAGCAUUGAGUCUUCAUCAGUGUCAACGAUCACAACGUCGGUACAACGUCUACCGAGGGGGAACAACACCGACAAACAGAGAAGAACACGAUCAAUGCAAUGCAUAAUAUGAUGCAUGCUAUGACAUGGCAUUAUGAAUGUGUUUUGGGCUAAUGCAAGCUAGAUCAGAUUGAGAUGAGUCCAUUUGAACCAAAGAUUCAAAUGCAAACCCAUUUUAAGAGGUCAUAUUAGUGCAUUAACUUGUUUCACCUAAACAGCAAGGUUAAAGUGUUCUAACAUGCAUGAAAAUGGUACAGAUGGAUAGAGUGCAUUUUUCUGAUCAUUUUUCAUAUAUAAUUUGUUUGAUUUGGAGCUACGGUUGAUUUUUUAUGAUUUUUAGAAGUUUUGGUUAUUUUCUGGAAUUUCCUGAAUAAGAAUAAAUCCAGAAAAGGCAUUACUGCAUCAGCCUGACAUCAUCAUGACGUCAGCAGGUCAACAGGGCACGGUCCGGGUCAAACCUGACCAGUGGGGUCCACUGGUCAGUGACUGGGGCUGAUUAGUGUCGCUGACAUGUGGUCCCAGUCAACAGCCACGUCAGCUGGGUCAAUUCUGGCGCGUGGGGCUAGUCAACGUGUGACGUGGCCAGGUCAAACUGACCUGUGGGGCCCGUAGGGUUGGUUUAAUCUAAACAGGAGCUAAUCCAGGGUUACUUAAUCAGCGGGGCCCAGGUGUCAGUGGCUGCGGUGGUAAUUAGUGGGUGGAUUAGACCUAAUCUAAUCACGCCACGUCGACGUCGCCGGAUCAAGUUGCCGGCGACCUUAAGGGACGGCGGUGGCUCAUCGGAGUUUGUCGGGGCGGCGCUACAGGCCGCGGCUGGUCGCUCUGAGGGCACCAGGAGGGAGCCCGCGCUCUUGCGCAUCCAGAGAGCCAGGUGGGAGGGGCUGGGGUGGAACGAGCUCGCCGGAGUCGAGCUCGUGGCGGCGGCCAGCGGUCGGGAGCGGUCGAGUACGGUGGUAGAGGGCAUGGGAGGGGAAUCUACUGGUGGCUGCAGGUUCGUGGAGGCGCGUCGAGUACGCUGGUGUGCUCGGAUACGGGCUGCAGUGCGCAUAGCCUCGUCUGCACCAUCGCCGGUGGCGAGGAGCUCACGGCUUCGGUGGAAACGGCGGCUGGGGGGUGAAUUAAGCGACGGGGUAUGGGGGAAACGGUGCAGAGGCUCACCGCGGUUCUUCUGGUGCUGCUGGAGAGGCAAGGGAGACACGGGGUCCGGCGAAACGUUGGCGGGGAUCUCCGGCACCCGAGGACGGAGACGGCGGCGUUGGCGAGGCUCCGGAGCAUUCGGCGUUGCGUAGCUCAGCGAGGAGGUCGAGGACGACGCGUCGGAGCUCCUGGACUGGUCGGGGAAGCGAGGGGGAGGCGGUGGGCACGGCAACGCCGAGCGGCGGCGACAGCGGCGCUCGGGCGUGUUCGGGAGAGGGAGCAGGGAGGAGGAGAGAGGCCAGGGAGCGAGGGAGAGGCGAGAGGGGGUUCGUGGCGUCUCCGUGGCACGCCUGGGGGGGUCAAGGCUGCGCGGCUGAAGCAGGAGGUGGCAAGGCGUCGUCAGCGCGCUUGCCACGCACCUGUCUGUCCUCCUGGCAGGAGGAAGACGACAGGGGGAGGGCUGCUGGGCUGGGCCAGCAGGUGGGCUGCCAGCUGGGCCGGCCAGGUAAGUGGCCCAGGUAAAAUCUCUCUCUCUCUUUUAUUUAUUGUUUCUGUUUUUCUAUUAUUCUGUAGUCUUUGUGGCUUUUCUAAACAUACCUAGACCCUUUCAAAAAUCACCAAACUGCACAUGCCCACUGUAUAGAAUAAUAUCCAACAUGGGACAUUUCAAUUUAGGAUUAUUUGGACAUUUAAAGUAUUUACUAGCAUUUAAAUGCCCAAAUUCAAAUACUAUAUGAUUUAAUUCAGAGCCCAAAUAUGUCAUGGAAAAAUGUGCAACACCUCUGGUUAUUGUUUCCAACACUAACCAGAAAUGACGAACAUUUUUAAAAGCCAUUUGGAAUCACUGAGAAUAUUUUAGUUGAACCUAGUGAAUUCCUUUGAUGCUAGGGUUUGGGCAAUCCCCAUUUCAAGUUUCAGAUAAAUUUUAGACAUGAUGCAUGGGUGCUGAUGCAACUAAUUACAAACAAAUUCUAGGGCUGUGACAGGCUGUCACGGGACAAGAGAAGAGGGGCUCCUCUUCUAGGUCAGCACCUCUCAUGGGCUUGAGCCCAAGAGACAGAUCUUGAUGGGCUAGGGCCCAUACCGGUUCAACACUCCCCCUCAAGAUGGGUGGUAGAUAUCUAUCAUCCCCAUCUUGUCACACGCUAAGUUACAGUCCUUUGUUCCCAGUCCCUUUGUCAAGCAAUCUGCAAACUGCUUCCCAGAGCUGACAUGAGUAAGGCUGAUGAUCCCAGCAUCAAGUUUCUCUUUAAUGAAGAAGCGAUCAAUUUCCACAUGCUUCGUUCUAUCAUGUUGAACUGGGUUAUUAGCAAUGGCUAUAGCUGACUGAUUGUCACACCACACCCUUAAGGGUCCCUUCCUCAAAAGUUUCAACUCGCAUAGUAGGUGCUUCACCCAGAGCAUAUCACACAACCCUCGAGAUAAUGCUCUAUAUUCAGCUUCUGCUGUUGAUCUAGACACAACAGUUUGUUUCUUGCUUCUCCAUGACACCAAAUUUCCUCCCACAAACACACAGUAGCCUGAAGUUGAUCGUCUAUCAUCUUGACAGCUAGCCCAAUCAGAGUCACUAUAGCCAUCCACCUCAAGAUGUCCACUCUUCGCAAACCACAACCCUUUACCCGGAGUCCCCUUCAAGUAUCUCAGGAUUCUGUGAACAAUAUUCAGAUGCCCACUCCUUGGUUCAUGCAUGUAUCUGCUCACCACCCCCACGGCAUACGUAAUGUCAGGCAUGGUAUGACACAAGUAUAAUAACCUCCCAACCAGCUUCUGAUAAUCUUCCUUAUUCACUAGCUCACCUGAUUGUGCUGUUACUUGAUGAUUUUGUUCAAUCGGAGUAGGGGCUGCACGACAUCCCACCAUGCCCAUGUCACUCAAAAGAUCCAAGGUGUAUUUUCGUUGGCACAAAGAUAUUCCCUUCUCUGUCCGAG